UCAAGUAGAAUUUCCAGCAACUGGUGUUGUGCUUGAUUAGUUUGAAUCAUUUUGUUUUCAGUAGGUCCUUUCGAAAGGCAAAGUCGUGAAGAACUAAAGAAGUCCAUAAUGGAGCUUAUAGUUCUAGUUUCAAACCAAAUUACACAUCAGCGUAGGUAAGAGCAACAAACCAAUAAAAAAGUUUGGAGGAAAGAGGUUGCUGCCAAGGGGAGCUACAAUCCAAGUGGAUUGGGCAUAGACAACCACUUGGAUUGUAUGUUUAGAAUAAUUUCUCUGAAAUAUUAGUUUUAUUUGAUGAUUAUGUAAAUAUUAAGUCUUUGUAUGGAUUUCUUUCAUGUUAAUACUUUUGGAUGAU